rnacentral:tRNA from 1 species
UAGCUCUGUUGGUAGAGCAUGAGACUAAUAAUUUCAGGGUAGUGGGUUUGUGUCCCAC